rnacentral:rRNA from 1 species
GAUGAACGCUAGCUACAGGCUUAACACAUGCAAGUCGAGGGGAAACGACAUCGAAAGCUUGCUUUCGAUGGGCGUCGACCGGCGCACGGGUGAGUAACGCGUAUCCAACCUGCCCACCACUUGGGGAUAACCUUGCGAAAGUAAGACUAAUACCCAAUGAUAUCUCUAGAAGACAUCUGAAAGAGAUUAAAGAUUUAUCGGUGAUGGAUGGGGAUGCGUCUGAUUAGCUUGUUGGCGGGGUAACGGCCCACCAAGGCGACGAUCAGUAGGGGGUCUGAGAGGGAGGUCCCGCACACUGGAACUGCGACACGGUCCAAACUGCUACGGGCGGAAGCCGUGAGGAAUAUUGGUCAAUGGACCAGAGUCUGAACCAGCCAAGUAGCGUGGAGGAUGACGGCCCUAUGGGUUAUAAACUGCUUUUAUAAGGAAAUAAAGUGAUUCUCGUGAGACUUUUUGCAUGUACCUUAUGAAUAAGGACCGUCUAAUUCCGUGCCAGCCGCCGCAGUAA